GCAAGGGUGGGCAGCACCUCGGGGGUCAGGAUUCUACCAAGGGCCCCUGAGCCAGGCCUUCUCCCUUCUUGCAACUGGCCCUGGUUUUCUCAGGCUGCAGACCUGGCCCUAAUUCCUCCCCACUCCGUACCCUGGUGAGCAGGGGCUGGGGGAUUCGUACCAAAGGAGCAUUGGCCACUCUACCUCAUGACUGUUCAAAUCUAGAAUAUUCUGUCCAGUGACAGAGAGGCACUGCCUCUCCCUAGUUAGGGACACUGCUCCGUCCCUACUGGGGCUCCAUCUGUCAGUCACCCUCCUAUCCAGCAGUCACUGCAAACUUAAGGUCAGAGAGGGAAGCAGAGGUGGAGCUCCUGGGGCUGUGAGUGGUGAUGAGAGGGGUGAGAGGUGGCCACUGGCACCUUCAGAGGGCACGUGGGCUUUGGUGGCAACAUCAUUCCUCCAAAGUUUGCUCAUCCUCACUUCCUGCUCUUUCAUCACCCUGACAGGCCUGAGAGGGCGGGGGUCCUCUGGGGGACUUUCUGGCGUCAGGGAGGUAGAGGCUGCCCCCACCCCCCAUCUCAGGACCCCCAGAGUCCCUUCCCUCAGGGCCUACCAGCCAAAGCCCAGACGAGGGGAGCUGGUUCCCCUGUAGCAAGUAGAAGAGCCAAUGAGGCCCCGGAAGUCAUCAGAGGCCAGUGAGCCCUCAGUUCCGCCUCAGGUCAGGCGGCUCUCCUGGUGACUUCUAGGAGACACUGCCCAGGGGCUGGGACCCUUCACUGCCUCCCAUGGACAACCAGGCUCCCAUGAGGAAACCGCUUCCCUCCAGGACAAAGCUGGGAUCAGCCAUGACAGAAACACUUCCGGGGGCCCAGGUGUAGGCCGCUGGGCUCCACAGCCCAAGACUGUGGCCAGAGACAGCAAAUGGUGUCAGUGCUGCCUCAUGGAUGAGGCUGAGUCCUUGCACUCACUGUGACCCAAAGUACCUGGUGUCCAGAGCAGCAGGGUAGAGAGCCCCGCUCUGGGCCCCAGCCCCCCAGCCUGCUUCACCCAGUGCAUGGGCAUGUCCUUCAUUGUCUCCCGACCAGGAUGGAGCUGGGACUGCGUAUUCAGAGCUCUGAUUUGUCAAACUGUCUCAUUUGUGGCUGGGAGGCCCAGCUUGGGGUCUCUGUCCACGGGGCCCACAGGAGGGGCCGAGUCCCUUAGGGGUCAGCUGAGGUCUGGAUCCACUCCUGCUGGUGGGCUGUGGAGGAGGGGAGGAACACUGCCGAUAGGCCUUCACUGGGGGAAGGGUAUCUCACCCUGGGCCAGGGCCUGGUGUGGGGUCCCUGGGUGGAGGCCAGGAUCUGGGCUCCAUGAGCACAGGGCACAUACUCUGUCCUUCCCUGCCAGGAAGGUCCACUUUCAGCUGCCUCCCGUUUCCUGGAGGGAACCAGGAGGUAGUGAUGAGGUUUUGGAAUAUAAGUGAGGUUCGGUGGGGUGAGGUCCAGAGCCGACGACCAAGAAAGAAUUUUUUUUUUUUUAAGAUUUUAUUUAUUUAUUUGACAGAGAGAGACACAGCGAGAGAGGGAACACAAGCAGGGGGAGUGGGAGAGGGAGAAGCAGGCCUCUCGCCGAGCAGGGAGCCUGACGCGGGGCUCGAUCCCAGGGCUCGAUCCCAGGACUCCGGGACCAUGACCUGAGCUGAAGGCAGACGCUUAACCAACCGAGCCACCCAGGCGCCCCGGUUAUAAGGACAUUUAAUUGUAUCUGCAUUUCCUUCUGGAAGCUAGGUUAUUGAUAGAAAUGCUUUGUUCUUGUAGAUUGCUAAGACAUUUGUAAACUGAGGGAGACUCGUGUCUUGCAGGAUUGUGAUCUCUAGAAGUUAACUAUUUGUUUUUCCUUUCCUUAGCUUUAGGGCAGCCAGGAGUGCCUGAGGAAUGUCACAUAUAUCCCAUGGGUGGGGGGGUUGUGGGGUGUCAGUUUCUGCUUUGUCCUCAGCUUGCCUUCUGUUCCCUCAUCAGUAGCCCAUACUCUGUUGGUGCGAAGCGUUGUCUGCCUUCAUCGGGUGCAGGAAGGGGGCCUCUCCGCAUUUACCCCACCCUGGGCUUGGGCUGAGCAGAGGCUCCUAGAGAUCAGGGAUGACAACUUGUCCAGAUUGGAGACGAUGGACCACACACAAAGGAGUCCUUGUCCCUGCCAGAGAUGUGGAGGUCCGGGGAAUGCCCCCUCCCCCCCUCCCUGGCCUUCGGGCCCCUCAUCUUGCAUAAUCCUGACCUGGGGGAAAGGGACCGAGAGCUUGCCAAAUGUUUCAGCCUGAGUUGCUGGCAAUUGCCUCACCUUUCCUGGAUUUGGCAAAGGAUAAAUUCGCUCCACCCUGGAGUGAGCCAUUGGCCAGGGGACCAUAAAUAGGGUCCCCCAGGGGCAGCCUUCUCACUAGCUUCUCCUCUUCAGCUGCCAUCUGGCACACCAGUUUUCCUAAGCCCUGAAGUCAUGGCCCGAGGCCUCCUGUGGCUGGGCCUUGUCCUGCUGGGGGCCCUGCAGGCUCAGGCCCAGGACUCUCCCCCAGAGUUGAUCCCAGCCCCAUUUCUGACCAAGAUCCCCCUGCAGCCUGACUUCCAGGAUGACCAGUUCCAGGGAAAAUGGUACGUCAUAGGUGUAGCAGGGAAUUCAAUUAAUACAGAAAAACGAGCCCAGUUGAAGAUGUACACCACCACCUACCAACUGAAAGACAACCGCAGCUACAACGUCACCUCCACCCUGAUCAGGAACCAGCGCUGCGACCACUGGAUCAGAACUUUUGUCCCAAGUUCCCUGCCUGGCCAGUUCACCCUGGGCAACAUUAAGCGUUACGUCGGAGUGCAGAGCUACACCGUGCAGGUGAUGACCACCAACUACAACCAGUUUGCCAUGGUGUUCUUCAAGAAAGUUUACAAAAACCAGGAGUACUUCAAGAUCACCCUCUAUGGGAGGACCAAGCAGCUGCCCACUGCUCUGAAGGAAUACUUCACCGGCUUUGCCAAAUCCCUGGGCCUCACCGAUGACCACAUCAUCUUCCCUGUCCCCACUGGUAACUGCCAGCGACGGAGAGGAGAAGGGGACAUGGGGACUGUCCGGGCCUGAUGUUGCCUCACGAGGGAAAGGGGGAGAGGGGAGACUCAGGCCCCUACUGCAGGCACUGGAGCCCCUGGGAGCCACUUUGGGUUCAAGAAGACCCUGACUCACCCAGGGGUCUGCGGGGCACCCAGCAAUGUGGGCCCCAAGGAUUCCUCCCUGACAGAGAGCCCGGGUCCAAGUUUCCCACCUAGUUGCCUGGCCAUGUUCUCCUCUACCCAGGUCUGCUUGUCCUGGGCUCGCACCCAUUUUGCCCUGGGGCUUGCUCACCACUGACUUGGGAGGUGCUCAGGUGGCCUGGCCUGGGCAGGUGCCUCCCCAAGGCUGCUGGGGUUGUCAGGACUCAGCAGGGAAACAGGCAGAAGGCCUGGUGCCCAAGUAGGCACGUGGCUGGGCCUUAUCUGCCUCCUCUGGAGAAUGGGUAUCACCCAGCUCUGCUUGUCCUCUGGCUUCUCUCCCCGUCCCCUGCCCCCAUCAUCCACCCCUCUGCUGCACCAUCCCUGAAGGGAACCCCCAGAUCUUCUGCGGCUGGCCAGGCUGGGGCCCAGGGCAGCCCAGGGGCUGCACAGGGGCCCUGGAGGUCAGGGAUCCCCCCCCACAAAUUCCUGCCCAUGCUGACCACUCUGUCCCCCACAGACCAGUGCAUCGAUGAUAAGUGAAUGAGUAUGCGGUGUCCCCCGUCUCUCUCCACCCCAUCACCCUCAUGCUGACCUCUGCCCAGGGCACCGCCCAGCUGUUCCACCGACCGGACACCAGGAGAGAGCCCGGAGACCCUUCUCACCACACAGCCCACCAGCUGCUUCCCAGGCUGCCCUUCUGAUGGAACCCCUCCUUGCUUGCUAAAUAAACACAUGCCCCCA